UGAGCAAUCUGCCCUUCUCUUUGGAAUAAGCGUUGGAAACGACGUCUAAUGCCGAAUACGACCUCCUUUCGCAUGAUCGGAGGUGGAAAGCUCCGGCGGAGAAGGAUGAGCUCGCGGCCUAUCAGCUAGUUGGUGUGGGUAAUGGCCCACCAAGGCGACGACGGGUAGCCGGCCUGAGAGGGUGACCGGCCACACUGGGACUGAGACACGGCCCAGACCUCCGUACGGGAGCAG
rnacentral:rRNA from 1 species